GCUGAGUGCGAUGGCAGUCACCUGUAGUCUCACCUACUUGGGAGGCCGAGGCAGGAGGAUCCCGUUAGCCUGGGAGUUCUGGGCUGUAGUGUGCUGUGCUGAUUGAGUGUCCACAGUAAGUUCAGCAUCAAUAUGGUGACCUCCUGGGAGUGGGGGACUACCAGGUUGCCUAAGGAGGUGUGAACCGGCCCAGAUCAGAAAUGGAGCAGGUCAAAACUCCCAUGCUAAUCAGUAGUGGGACUGCACCUGUGAAUAGGCGCUGCAUUUCAGCCUGGGCAACAUAGCGAGACUCCCUCU
rnacentral:SRP_RNA from 10 species